rnacentral:rRNA from 1 species
GUUCAGAGUACGUGAAACCGUUCAGGGGUAAACCUGAGAAACCCAAAAGAUCGAACGGGGAGAUUCAUCGUCAGCGGCGCCGGCUUCCGUGCUGUUCGCGAUGCUCUCGGGGCUCCGGCCCCUUGGCACGCGGCUGCUGCGGCAUGCCCGGCGUCGUCGGCGUGCACUUCUCCUUUAGUAGGACGUCGCGACCCGUUGGGUGUCGGUCUACGGCCCGGGUGGUCGCCUGGCGUCGCGCGCUUCGCGGCGCGCGCGUCAGACCCCCGGCUGCCCGACCGGCUGCCCGGCGGUAUUCGCACGGUAUCGAGCCGCGGCAAUUUAAUCGGCAAGCGCGGCCAGUGAUACCCGGAGGCGCGGACCUGGUGCCGUCCCCGGGCCUGGCCAGCUGUUGGUCGUGCCGCGGAGGCCGCGCGGUGCAAAGACCGCGCGGUGCUUGUACCGGUCGGCGACGCUACUGCUUUGGGUACUUUCAGGACCCGUCUUGAAACACGGACCAAGGAGUCUAACAUGUGCGCGAGUCAUUGGGACUUCGAGAAGCCUAAAGGCGCAAUGAAAGUGAAGGUCGGCCUCGCGCCGACCGCGGGAGGAUGGGUCGCGUCACGAUGCGACCCCGCACUCCCGGGGCGUCUCGUACUCAUUGCGAGUUGAGGCGCACCCAGAGCGUACACGUUGGGACCCGAAAGUGGGG